rnacentral:lncRNA from 1 species
AGAAACCCUAACAACCAAACCAGGUGGAGCAAUGGUUGAAGAAGUAUACGUGGCAUUUCGAUCUGAACCAACAUUCGUCGCAACUCUUUUCACUUUCACAACCCCCUGAUUUUGCUUAAGUUUUUCUAUAGAGAUUGAAGGGUAAUUUAUGUUUGAUAUGAGUUCCUUUUUACUAGUACUAGCAUUUCUUGGGCAAUCGAAAUUCUUAUAAUUCUUUGAUGCUACUAAUCUAAGUUGUUUUUCUUUGUACCCGUAAUAACAUAGGAAGUUGUAGUAGUCAGUCAUGGUCGUUUCAAAUACUAACCCUGGAUCUAGAGCUUUAAUUGGGCUUAAUUCCCCAGCACCUAUUUCAUGUGGAUUUGAAUAAAGACCUGACGUGUUUGUCAAGUGCUUCCUCAAAUUGUUGGAUACUGUUGCUGUUGAGAGGAAAAAGAAAAUUCCAUUAUCAGCAAAAUUUGAAGUAGAAAAGUAGUGCUUAGAUGAAAGGAAAUGAAACAACAUAUUGCAGCAAAAGAAAAUAGUGAAACGGUAAACAGGAGGUCACUCGUUCAACCCGUGUCAUAAGACCCAAUGUAAUCUGGCCUUCCCUGAAUCACGCGCAUAGCGAGAACUUAGUGCACAAAGCUGCUUUCUUUUUAUCAAUUUGUAAAUGAUACUAAAUAUUUAAUAGCCAAAAUAUGUGAUAUACCUGUUGUCAUGAUUGCAGAUUUGAUCAUUGAGAAGCUCCAUGUACGGUGUAUUGAUUUAAUGAAGGACAUAGCUCCAGUAACAUGUGGACAGGCCAUAGAUGUUCCAGAUGUGAUGCCAAAUAAGGAUGUUGAUUUUUUUUCUGGUAAAAGAUUACUACUCAC